CGGGUCGCCGCGCCCGGUCCCCUGCGGCGGAGGCGGCUGGAGACUCGCUCGGAGCUGAUUUCUGAUCGGUGUCAUCUCCCAGUGUCCCUGUUUAUGCCCGAUCCCCUGAAACACGCCCGUGUCCCCGCCGCAGACGCGGCAGCGCCGGGCACCUCCGGGUUCGGGGGCGGCGGGCUGCGGACCCCAGUGCGCACAGAGGCCUGCGUCCCUGGGACAGCGCGGCCUUGUCAUCCCCGCCCCACCCUGCUCCUGAAGGGCUGCGCAGUGGAUCCGCGAAUGAAGCCAGACUGGAAGAUCCCCACGUCCCCCACCCGCCUGACAGGGACCCAGAUGCUCCUGAGGACCCUGUCUGGCUUCAACAAGCAAGUAGCCAUCCCGCCCCCCAGGUGUGGCGUUUCUAGGCCUUUUCCCAGCUGGCACCUUGCUAAAGGAAAAGAGACUCAGCAAAGCUGUAUUAUUCCUUAAAUGCUCAAAACAGAAAAGAGUAGGCCUUUAGCCUGUCUGAUGUAGUUUAAAGGACCAAGGGAGCCCACCCUCACCCGCUAAAAAUUACUCCCCAGUUGUCAUUUGUGUCACCUCUUAGCUUAAAAGUUUAAUCUCUGUCACAAUGACAAUUUCCUCGGUUGCAUAAAUCACUCCAUUUGAUGAGAACUGGUUUUGAAAGGAAGCACGGAUUGCUCAGAUGGGAGCAAGCCUAUGGGUAGGUGAGUCUGGGAGGAGCCCCUGCGAGGUGCCCUGGGCUGGGAAGGGUUCAGAAGGAGAAAGCCACAGUGAUACUCCUCACGCUAAGUGUUUUCUUUAUGCGGCAGUUUUUAGCAAUUGUUAUAAUGUGUGCUUUUGUCAAUUGACUUGUGUAAAUAUGUACAAUCAUUUGUGAAUAACUUAAUUUAUUUUGUUGGAGUGCAGGCUUUAGUGCCUCAGAAUCCUAAAUUAAAACAUUUUACUGUA